UGAAAUUGAUAUGUAAAAACU
rnacentral:piRNA from 1 species